rnacentral:rRNA from 1 species
GAUGAACGCUAGCGGCGUGCCUAACACAUGCAAGUCGAACGUGAGAAAGACUUCGGUCUUUUGAAAGUGGCGGACGGGUGAGUAAGACGUAGGUGACCUGCCUUGAAGUGGGGAAUAACAACCGGAAACGGUUGCUAAUACCGCAUAAUGCAGCGGCACCGCAAGGUGACAGUUGUUAAAGAUUUAUCGCUUGAGGAGGAGCUUGCGGCAGAUUAGCUAGUUGGUAGGGUAACGGCUUACCAAGGCUACGAUCUGUAACCGGUCUAAGAGGACGGUCGGUCACACUGACACUGAAUAACGGGUCAGACUCCUACGGGAGGCAGCAGUCGGGAAUUUUGGGCAAUGGGCGAAAGCCUGACCCAGCAACGCCGCGUGAAGGAUGAAGUAUUUCGGUAUGUAAACUUCGAAAGAAUAGGAAGAAUUAAUGACGGUACUAUUUAUAA